CAUUAUCACUCACCUGUAGAAGAUGAAGGCAAUGAUGGCCACGACCACCACAAUCACCCCCAAAACUAUGACGACGGUGUCAAGUGAUGCUCCUUCUGUUAGCAGAGAACAAAAACUGGUCUGGGUCUAUGGUGUAAUUCCUGGUGUUGGGCAUGGUGAGUACCAACACAUUCUUCAUAGAUGGCUGGGACGUUGUGUUGAUGUAGUAUUGGUCGCUGUGGAAAGGAAGUAUAGAGAUCAAUAAGGAUGAAGAGAAUUUCACUGCUGUCUGCUUCUGCGGUGAGAUUCUUCACCUCCACAACCUCCAUCAUGGAACCACACAUGAUGAACACUGCAAACCGAAAGCAACACUAACC